rnacentral:rRNA from 1 species
CGGCUGCUCAGUACCCGUAGUCAACCUAACCUAUGGACGGGAAUAACCUCGGGAAACUGAGAAUAAUGCCCGAUAGAACACUAUACCUGGAAUGGUUUGUGUUCCAAAUGAUUUAUCGCCGUAGGAUGGGACUGCGGCCUAUCAGUUUGUUGGUGAGGUAAUGGCCCACCAAGACUAUUACAGGUACGGGCUCUGAGAGGAGUAGCCCGGAGAUGGGUACUGAGACACGGACCCAGGCCCUAUGGGGCGCAGCAGGCGAGAAAACUUUGCAAUGUGCGAAAGCACGACAAGGUUAAUCCGAGUGGUUUCUGCUAAAGGAACCUUUUGUUAGUCCUAGAAACACUAACGAAUAAGGGGUGGGCAAGUUCUGGUGUCAGCCGCCGCGGUAAAACCAGCACCUCAAGUGGUCAGGAUGAUUAUUGGGCCUAAAGCAUCCGUAGCCGGCUCUGUAAGUUUUCGGUUAAAUCUGUACGCUCAACGUACAGGCUGCCGGGAAUACUGCAGAGCUAGGGAGUGGGAGAGGUAGACGGUACUCGGGAGGAAGUGGUAAAAUGCUUUGAUCUCUCGAUGACCACCUGUGGCGAAGGCGGUCUACCAGAACACGUCCGACGGUGAGGGAUGAAAGCUGGGGGAGCAAACCGGAUUAGAUACCCGGGUAGUCCCAGCUGUAAACUAUGCAAACUCAGUGAUGCAUUGGCUUGUGGCCAAUGCAGUAUUGCAGGGAAGCCGUUAAGUUUGCCGCCUGGGAAGUACGUACGCAAGUAUGAAACUUAAAGGAAUUGGCGGGGGAGCAG